GUAGACAACAGGCUAAGUAUAGAGGAAGGUGUAACAGUAGACAACAGGCUAAGUACAGAGGAAGGUGUAACAGUAGACAACAGGCUAAGUAUAGAGGAAGGUGUAACAGUAGACAACAGGCUAAGUAUAGAGGAAGGUGUAACAGUAGACAACAGGCUAAGUAUAGAGGAAGGUGUAACAGUAGACAACAGGCUAAGUAUAGAGGAAGGUGUAACAGUAGACAACAGGCUAAGUAUAGAGGAAGGUGUAACAGUAGACAACAGGCUAAGUACAGAGGAAGGUGUAACAGUAGACAACAGGCUAAGUAUAGAGGAAGGUGUAACAGUAGACAACAGGCUAAGUAUAGAGGAAGGUGUAACAGUAGACAACAGGCUAAGUACAGAGGAAGGUGUAACAGUAGAGAACAGGCUAAGUAUAGAGGAAGGUGUAACAGUAGACAACAGGCUAAGUACAGAGGAAGGUGUAACAGUAGA